rnacentral:rRNA from 1 species
AUUGAACGCUGGCGGCAGGCCUAACACAUGCAAGUCGAGCGAGCGGCGGACGGGUGAGUAAUGUAUGGGGACUGCCCGAUAGAGGGGGAUCACUACUGGAAACGUUAGCUAAUACCGCAUACUAUCCGAUAACCCAUAUGGGAUUAGCUAGUAGGUGGGGUAAUGGCUCACCUGGGCGACGAUCCCUCGCUGGUCUGAGAGGAUGAUCAGCCACACUGGGACUGAGACACGGCCCAGACUCCUACGGAGGCAGCAGUGGGGAAUAUUGCACAAUGGGCGCAAGUCUGAUGCAGCCAUGCCGCGUGUAUGAAGAAGGCUUUAGGGUUGUAAAGUACUUUCAGUCGGGAGGCGUUACCGACAGAAGAAGCACCGGCUAACUACGUGCCAGCAGCCGCGGUAAUUC